CCUACGGUGGGCAGCAGUGGGGGAUAUUGCACAAUGGGGGGAACCCUGAUGCAGCGACGCCGCGUGGGUGAAGGAGUGCUUCGGCAUGUAAAGCCCUAUCGGCAGGGAAGAAGCAAGACGGUACCUGACUAAGAAGCCCCGGCUAACUACGUGCCAGCAGCCGCGGUAAUACGUAGGGGGCGAGCGUUAUCCGGAUUUACUGGGUGUAAAGGGAGCGUAGACGGAAUAGCAAGUCUGAUGUGAAAACCCGGGGCUCAACUCCGGGAGUGCAUUGGAAACUGUUGAUCUAGAGUGUCGGAGAGGCAAGCGGAAUUCCUAGUGUAGCGGUGAAAUGCGUAGAUAUUAGGAGGAACACCAGUGGCGAAGGCGGCUUGCUGGACGAUGACUGACGUUGAGGCUCGAAAGCGUGGGGAGCAAACAGGAUUAGAUACCCCUGUAGUC
rnacentral:rRNA from 1 species